rnacentral:rRNA from 1 species
UACGGGGGGAGCAAGCGUUGUUCGGAUUUACUGGGCGUAAAGGGCGCGUAGGCGGCCACUGCAAGUCAGUUGUGAAAUCUCCGGGCUUAACCCGGAAAGGUCAACUGAUACUGCAGGGCUAGAGUGCAGAAGGGGCAACUGGAAUUCUCGGUGUAGCGGUGAAAUGCGUAGAUAUCGAGAGGAACACCUGCGGCGAAGGCGGGUAGCUGGGCCGACACUGACGCUGAUGCGCGAAAGCCAGGGGAGCGAACGGG